GGAGAUCAAAAACGAGUCCGUUGAUCUGGUAUUCUCGCUUUUCUGCUGUGAUUCUUGUUUUCAUUUCCUUUAUUUCAAAAAAUCAGCUCAAUUCCAUUGUUAACACUCAAAAAACGUACAGAGACUUGUAAGCAUGUUGUUUUGGACUUGGAAACCACAAACGACGAGUUUUGUUUUCCCCUUUGGUUACGUUAUGUGCUCAUUUUACCUGCAACUACACGAUCAUGUUUGAUCAUUUCUCUCUAAAAGC
rnacentral:misc_RNA from 1 species